UGAGCAAACAGAGUGAGUGUCCAGAUGAAGAAGGUGAUUGUGUUCAUUGUUGUUCUUUUGUCUUGUGUGAUGAUGAAGAUUGUGUUCUGUUCUGCUCUCAGUCAUGAAGUGUUAAACUCACAGCACUAUAAACACUCUCAGAGCACUGAAGCAUGUGUGACAAUGCAAAGUGACUCUCUCUAUUUAAAUCACUAUCCUGAAGACUGUAGAUCAGUCACAAAGACAUUUCAAAGACAAUUCCCAAAAUAAACAUUUCAUUGCAUGGUAUUCCAAGGAGAAGCAGGUUUGAAAUUCAGUGUCAAUGUGUUUUCUCUCACCCAGCAUUCAUAUGUGAAGUCUAUGGACCCCCUAAAGGAACAUGGGACAAACAAAUAUGAGAUUGAAGGAAAAAUAAUAAGUCAAUGCCUUUAUGUUACCCCGAUAAAUUUUGCAUUUGCUCACAAAACCCUCUGAGCUCUUUGCAGGCGAAUGCAAAUUUUCUCGGUGGAACGCGAAAGCAUUGACUUUUUUUUUUUCUUUUUUUUUUCUCCUAUCAUAUAUAUUUUUUUCCCUUCACCAUGUCCCUUUAGGGGCUCCAAAGAAUUGACAAGAUUGAAAUACAAUGUUUAUAAAGUCUGAUUUAACUUCUUGUUUCUCAUUGAUAGUCUGGUUAAAGGAUUAUAACAAAAAGACAAAAGUUAUAUCUGUUAUAUUUUAAUAAAAUUCAACCCCUGGGAUAUUAGGUGCCCAAAGUUGAUGAAACACUCAUAAAUGACAAAGAAUAAGCAUAUUGUAUCUUCUCUUCUCAAAGUCUUCAGAAGUGAAUGACACCUGAAGCCAGACACAUUCAAUUUACUAAUGGCCGAGCUGCUCUUAUGUUAAAAACAAGGUGGAUAAAGACUAUAAUGUUUGUCUCAUUCGUUUAGUGUCCAAACCUGCUCCUGAAGGGCCUGUAGAGUUCAGCUCCACGUCUACACUAUCACUGACUUGUGCCGGAGGGGCGACAGAUAAGAAAGUGGGACUCUAAUGGAGACAAAGUCCACUUUCUGCUCUGACAAUUCACCCAUUCCUGAAUUAUGAGGGAAGUAUAUUAAUAUCCCCAUACUUAAUGCAUUGGAGGAAGGUGACAGAUGAGAGAGUGGGACGAUAAUGUCAAUGAAAAAUCCAACAUAAACCAGCAUAAAUGCCAUGUUGGUCCAGACUGGUUUAGUUUAGUAUACCAAGGUCAAGGUCAAGUCAAGGUCAAGUUUAUUUCUAUAGCCCUUUAAAACAACAUAAAAUGCUGACCAAAGUGCUGCACAACAUACAAGACAAAACAUCCUCAUACAACACAAUUUAAAUACUAAUAAAAUAUAUAUCGGAAGAAAACAAAACAAAAUUAAUAAAAUUAAGACAAAACAUCAUGCAAAAUAAAACAAUUUAAAACGAAAAUUAUCAAAUUAAGAAUAUGCCUGAAAAAAAAGUAUGUCUUAAGAGAAGAUUUAAAUGUAGAUAGAGUAGGGGAUAGUCUAAUAGGAAAAAGGCAGGGAAUUCCAGAGCUUAGGACCAAGAACUGAGAAAGCUCUGUCACCUUUGGAUUUAAGUCCAGAUUUUGGACCAUUUAAUAUCAUCUGGGUGGAAGAUCUGAGCGUUCUCACAGGAGAAGGUCUGAAAUAUAAGAAGGGGCAAGACUAUGAAGUGAUUUAAAUACAAAUACUAAAACCUUAAAAUCAACUCUGAAUCGAACAGGUAACCAAUGAAGUGAUGCUAACACAGGUGUAAUAUGUUCUCUCUUUUUUGUCCCUGUCAAAAAACGAGCUGCGGCAUUCUGUACCAGUUGUAAUCGUGAGAGCGAGGACUGAUUUAUUCCAGCGUAUAGAGCGUUACAAUAGUCCAACCUGGCUGAGAUGAAAGCAUGAAUAACGGUCUCCAAAUCACUACAACUCAGAAUAUUUUUAAGCUUGCGAAGUCCCCUAAGCUGCAGAAAACUGGCGCUAACUACAGAAUUGAUUUGUUUAUGAAAUUUUAACUCAGGGUCAAAUGUAACUCCCAGAUUUUUAACUUUAUCACGAAUGUUAUCUUGAAGGGGGCCCAGGGUAGAACUUAGAUUAUUUAAAAGGUGUGAAGGGCCAAACAACAUAACAUCAGUCUUUUUCUGAUUUAACUGAAGGAAAUUAUUGUCCAUCCAAACCUUAAUAUCCUCUAAACAAGCUAGCAGAGAGGACACUGAAUUAGAUUUUAACAGAAAAUAGAGCUGAAUGUCAUCGGCAUAAAUGUGAUAUGAAACUUUAUGGGACUCAAAAAUUAAAUGAAGAGAGAGUAAAUAUUAGGGCUGGGUACUGACACAAUUUUCACCAUUCGAUUCGAUUUCUAUUCACAUGCUUGCGGUUCGAUUCGAUAACAAUUUUGAUUCAAUUCGAUUCAAUAUUGAUUAUUUUGGAUGUAGUAUAUCAGUUACAGUACAUGGCAAAUUUUCUAGAGGAAAAAAAAUCUCUCAACUAAUGCUGUAAACUACACAUGGGAGUCAGUUGGUACUACUUUACUAUAAUAAUGAAGGCUAAAUUGAACUUAUUUAUAUACAAACACUUCAAUUACACUCAAUUAUGUUUUUUUUUUAUAAUAAAGAAAGUUUAGAAUUACAUAAUCAUAUUUCUACUCCAAUUCGUUUUUUUUUUUUGGUUUUUUUAAUUUAAAUCGUGGCUGUCAUAACUGAUUUAUUUAAACAUGCAUAAAUAUUGAAGAACAUUAUAAUGAAUAUGUAACGGUGCAUAUCUAUAUUUAUCAGAAUGCUGCUUUCUAGAGUACACUUUUCUAGCUGACUAAUAAGUUUAUGGUCACUGAAUAUGUUUUUCUGAGGUAAAUAUCAAGCGUUCGCGUCAGUUCUGGCAGGUCACGUCAGUCAAGCUCGCAUCAGCUGACUCCCAGGUGACUCCCGUCUUCCUAUAGGAAUACGACGCCUAUCACGGCAUCCAUAUAUAAGCUCCUCAGUGUUAUCAGCAGCUAUUGCAUUUCUCAGGAGCUAAUUAAAUGGCGAAUGCGACAGGCAAAACAUCAUCAUCAUCAUCUCACUAGGAAUUGUGCAAUCGGGAGUUUAGCGAGAGGGAUUCGUUCCCCACAUGGAUUUCACCUCUUGUACACGCGAAUUCGCUGCAUUGAUCAUAAGCCGCCUGAUUUGGAAGUGACUGAGUUAACGUUAGCAUUGUUUCUCGCAUCGCUGCAAUUAGACAUGGACUCGAACAAGUUCAGAUGGAUCUGCUCUCCCCGCAUGAAGAAGGAUAUCAAGAGAAGAUCAAGCAUCCACGCCACUCUCCUUCAUCUCUGAAUGUUUUCAGAAGCUAAGCUAAGUUCCUGGUCUCUGAAAACGCGCUCUGAUGACGGAACUGAUGUCUCGAGUUUUGCUUCAAUGAGUGCGAGAGAUCGUUGUCAGAGCGCGUUCAGACCUCACUAACCAGAUGCUGAAGGCAGUUGGACAUAGUGGUGUUUUAGAGAUGGAGUUCCCAGUUACACACAUUAUUUGACUGACAGACCGCAACAGUUGGAGUUAAAAAUCAUCAUUUGUGUUCUACUGAAGAAACAAAGUCACCUACAUCUUGGAUGCCCUGGGGCUAAGCAGAUAAACAUCACAUUUUCAUUUUUGGGUGAACUAUCCCUUUAAGGCUAUCUAGUUGCUAUGGAAGGCAAAUGUAUUUAUGUAAAAAAAAAAAAAAAAAAAAAAAAAUUGCUAUCUUAAAUUGUUGUCUUAGACUUUAUGCUCUUUGAUAUCCGAUCAUAUUGCAAAAUUCUGUGUUAAGUGAGCGACUUCUGUGGCUUAAAAGUAUUGUAUUGUAACAUGCUUGUCCUUAAAGGGGUCAUAUAAUGCCAUUUUUGUACAAGUUAAUAUGAUUCUUCAGGUUCUAAAUGAAAAGUUUGUAAUAUACUUUAAUUAAAAAUUCUCAUUAGUAUUGUAAGAAAACACUCAUUUUACCUGGUCAAAAACAGCUCUGUUUUCAGCAAGCCAUUUCAGUGCAUGUGUCUUUAAAUGAUAAUGAGCUUUGCUCACCCCGCCCCUCUGUUCUGUGGGGCGUUUUGACACAACACACUUGGAGUGUUGCCUUGACAACAGCUGAGGGUAUAUUUUGGAGAAGGAAUGGCAGCGGGAGUCUUGCAGGAUGUAACAGUAUUUUGCAGGUAUUGUUACCAUUCAUCUUCAUGCAGUAAUAACUGUUACAACACGAUUUUUUUUUUUUUUUUGACAUUAUUUCUUAAUCAGUAACACACCGUUAUAAACCAUCUACAAAAGUAAGCUUAGUGUAGUGGUACCACAUUAACUUUACCACCUGCGUACACAGUUUGUAAUAACACAAUAACCAUAACGCGUUGUUCGUUAUAAACGUGGGAUUAUGAAUUAUAUUGAGAACGUCGUACAUAUAUACUUAUUUUGAGUAAGGAAUUACUUAAUGGCUGCUAAAAAAGUAUGUUCUGUAUAGUAUGAGUGUGUAUGAAUGUAAUCUGGACGUACUACAUUUACCAUGAUGUCAUUAUCAUGUGACCUACCAGCAUUAGUUGGGUUGCUUCACUUUAACAAAUCCUCUCCUGUGGCCUCAUGGGAUAGUAAAGUGUCCAUCAGAUGCACACUUCAGAAUCUCACUGAAAGUAGUAGAUCAUCUCGGUACUUUUUGCCUGUUCUAUAAAUACUGUGAAUUCAGACAUACUUCUUUUGACACAUUAUGUGAUUUUGGAUGCAGUCAGUCUUAAAGGGGACCUAUUAUGCCCCCAUUUACCAGAUGUAAAAUAAGUCCCUGAUGUGUGUAUGUAAAGUUUUAACUCAAAAUACCCCACAGAUAAUUUUUUAUAGCAUGUUAAAAUUGCCACUUUUUGGGGUUGAGCAAAAACACGCCUUUUCAGUGUGUGCCCUUUAAAUGCAAAUGAGCUGCUGCGCUCGGGCUAAGAGGGCGGAGCUUCAAGAGCUCGUUCUCCGGUGUCAGGAUUAGUGCUGGGAAUUUCGGUUCUUUUCCACAAACCGGUUCUUUCGGACAGUUCGAUUCAAUAAACCAGUUGAAAAAAAAACGGUUCACUGGUUCUUUUACGCUCCGACGUAAUGACGUCAUCCGCAAUGAAAAAACACUUAACACAUUCAAAUAUAUAAAGUCAGUAAUAACAUCAGUCAACUAAAACAUCAUUAUAAUCUGAAACGUUUCUUACCAUUUAAUUUUGCAUCUAAAGCAUCCAUAUACAGGCAGUGAUGUGCAAACGAAGUUUUACAGUUAUAAAGUGAAUAAAUUAGUCUUCAUCAGCGCAGAAUCCAUGAUCCUCAUUCGUGGGCGGGGCCUGUGGCUAAUGUGACGUCACGGGAUCUGGAAACGGCUUGUUCUGAGACACUGCUUAUGAUUUAUGGGGAUUAAAAAAAAAAAAAAAAAAAAGAGGUUGGAUUUUUAUCAUUAUAGGGUGGUUGUGUUCACACACUGCCAACACACAUUUAUGUCCAAACACCAUGCAAAAGUGAAUUUGGCAUAAUGGGUCCUCUUUAAAGGAAAGGUGUGUAGAAUUCAGUUAUGUAAAAGACGUGACCCUCUAGUGAAGUAUGGAAGAGCAAUUAAAGGGAUUGACUUUCCUACAGUAAAUUAAUAUAAAUAAUAUUGUAGUGUAGUUUUGCAGAGACGAGCACCACUCACAUUUUCUCCAGAUUUUAGACCAGUUUAGUAAGGGAUAUAAGAUUGUAUGUUACAUAUUUACUAAAUACGUCAUAAUAAAUAAAUAAAGUCUCUGAAAGGUUUGAUACACCAUUGUGUUGUUUGUGAUCCUCCAUCAGCAGCUGCAGUAUCUCUCAGCUGUAUCAGUGCAUCACUGUGACGUCUGACUGACCGAGGUUUUUGUACCACUCUUUAUCACUGUGUGAACACCCAUACACUGUUUGGAUAGUGUAAACUCUGACAGUAAUAAUCUCCUGUAUCUUCAGUCUGGACUCCACUGAUGGUCAGAGUGAAAUCACUGCCAGAUCCACUGCCACUGAAUCUAGAUGGAGUUCCAGUAUUACGGCUUGUUGCAUAAUAUAUGAGGAGUUUAGGAGCUUCUCCAGGUUUCUGUAAGUACCAGGCUAAACGAUCACCAUUAUACACUGCACUGCUGGUUUUACAGUUUAUUCUGACUUCUUGUCCUGGUUGAACUGCUGUUAUUGAUGGACUCUGAGUUACAGUGAUCUGUCCUCUA